rnacentral:tRNA from 1 species
GCGGGAGUAGCUCAGUUGGUAGAGCGCGACCUUGCCAAGGUUGAGGUCGCGGGUUCGAGUCCCGUCUCCCGCU